UUCGUAGGGCGCAAGCGUUAAUCGGAAUUACUGGGCGUAAAGCGUGCGCAGGCGGUUUUGUAAGUCUGUCGUGAAAGCCCCGGGCUCAACCUGGGAAUUGCGAUGGAGACUGCAAGGCUUGAAUCUGGCAGAGGGGGGUAGAAUUCCACGUGUAGCAGUGAAAUGCGUAGAGAUGUGGAGGAACACCGAUGGCGAAGGCAGCCCCCUGGGUCAAGAUUGACGCUCAUGCACGAAAGCGUGGGGAGCAAACAGG
rnacentral:rRNA from 1 species